GAUGAACGCUGGCGGCGUGCCUAAUACAUGCAAGUCGAGCGAACGGACGAGAAGCUUGCUUCUCUGAUGUUAGCGGCGGACGGGUGAGUAACACGUGGAUAACCUACCUAUAAGACUGGGAUAACUUCGGGAAACCGGAGCUAAUACCGGAUAAUAUUUUGAACCGCAUGGUUCAAAAGUGAAAGACGGUCUUGCUGUCACUUAUAGAUGGAUCCGCGCUGCAUUAGCUAGUUGGUAAGGUAACGGCUUACCAAGGCAACGAUGCAUAGCCGACCUGAGAGGGUGAUCGGCCACACUGGAACUGAGACACGGUCCAGACUCCUACGGGAGGCAGCAGUAGGGAAUCUUCCGCAAUGGGCGAAAGCCUGACGGAGCAACGCCGCGUGAGUGAUGAAGGUCUUCGGAUCGUAAAACUCUGUUAUUAGGGAAGAACAUAUGUGUAAGUAACUGUGCACAUCUUGACGGUACCUAAUCAGAAAGCCACGGCUAACUACGUGCCAGCAGCCGCGGUAAUACGUAGGUGGCAAGCGUUAUCCGGAAUUAUUGGGCGUAAAGCGCGCGUAGGCGGUUUUUUAGUCUGAUGUGAAAGCCCACGGCUCAUUCGUGGAGGGUCAUUGGAAACUGGAAAACUUGAGUGCAGAAGAGGAAAGUGGAAUUCCAUGUGUAGCGGUGAAAUGCGCAGAGAUAUGGAGGAACACCAGUGGCGAAGGCGACUUUCUGGUCUGUAACUGACGCUGAUGUGCGAAAGCGUGGGGAUCAAACAGGAUUAGAUACCCUGGUAGUCCACGCCGUAAACGAUGAGUGCUAAGUGUUAGGGGGUUUCCGCCCCUUAGUGCUGCAGCUAACGCAUUAAGCACUCCGCCUGGGGAGUACGACCGCAAGGUUGAAACUCAAAGGAAUUGACGGGGACCCGCACAAGCGGUGGAGCAUGUGGUUUAAUUCGAAGCAACGCGAAGAACCUUACCAAAUCUUGACAUCCUUUGACAACUCUAGAGAUAGAGCCUUCCCCUUCGGGGGACAAAGUGACAGGUGGUGCAUGGUUGUCGUCAGCUCGUGUCGUGAGAUGUUGGGUUAAGUCCCGCAACGAGCGCAACCCUUAAGCUUAGUUGCCAUCAUUAAGUUGGGCACUCUAAGUUGACUGCCGGUGACAAACCGGAGGAAGGUGGGGAUGACGUCAAAUCAUCAUGCCCCUUAUGAUUUGGGCUACACACGUGCUACAAUGGACAAUACAAAGGGCAGCGAAACCGCGAGGUCAAGCAAAUCCCAUAAAGUUGUUCUCAGUUCGGAUUGUAGUCUGCAACUCGACUACAUGAAGCUGGAAUCGCUAGUAAUCGUAGAUCAGCAUGCUACGGUGAAUACGUUCCCGGGUCU
rnacentral:rRNA from 1 species